UCAGGGGUGGCUUGGUGGUUAGUGUGGUUGUCUCGCACCUCUGGGGUUGGGGUUCGAUUCCCGCCUCUGAU